UCGGUGGGUAGGUGAGAGGGUAGGGUAGGUGAGCGGGUGUAUCGUUUCGUGCUUGGGUGAGCGGGUGCUAGGUGGUGAUCGAGUGUGCGUGCGAUAGGGGGCAUGUACUCAUUUGAGGCUGAGUCGACCUAGGGGAGGUCCAGGACCGGUUCAGAUAAUCGUCACUGGUGUUGGUGACCGUGAACCUACUACACUACCGCUCCACAUACGGGACGAGACCAAAGAGCAAUGGACGACGCCACAGGUUGUGUGCACAGGUGCAGGGAGUCCUUCCCAAUCUCCCUUGGGCCCCCUCUGCUGCCAGAUUGUCAUACCGCAGGCAACUGCUACCCGGUAAAUAUUGAACGUUGGGCGAACGUUAGCCCAACGAUGGCCCAACGUUCGAUGUUUGCUGGAUACAUAACGUCCAGUUACAUCAGACAGCAAGGCCUACAUCAUUGGCUAAGUCAACCUUUUGCUCAACCCGCGGACCACUCACUCUCAGUCAACCCUCAAGUUUUGCAGACCACUAUACCUCAAUAACGCCGUUCUAAAAGUAUUCCUCCUAAAUCCCCAGUAAACACGCCAACGUCCAUCCGGAUUUCUCACAUUUCUAUAAUUACACAGAAAAUUAUUAACUUAUUUUUUAAAAAACGUGUUUUACAAACUCCCUAAAACUCCUGGAAAGCAGUGCCCUCCCUCGUCCAGCUCAAGGCCCACAUCGCCUCCUCUCCCAACGUCGACUGCUGCAAGUUCACACCUUCUGUUACACCGACUCCACUGGGCUUCCCAUGGUGGUGGGAGCGGGUCGGGGGUGUAAAAGGGGCGAUUUGCCCCCGUCUUCACACAAAAGAAGGCCCCACAACAGGCCUCUACUUUUGUUGCUAACGACUAAGGGAUGGCACGUGGAGUUCUCCCCUGAGCCUGACACGGUGAAUUGACAGAAAUGAGAUCUGCCGCUGACAGCCCUCGGUGGAAACGGCCGUCGCUCUGCGGCGGCUUUCUCCUGUACCGGCGACGCCACGGAGCGUGACGGUGUGGCUUUGACCUCGUGGCUUUGACCACGUGACGCCCGCUCGUUCACAAAGACAAGACUAACGCUGACUCGGCAACAUCGACAAUGUUGGCUUUUAACAAAAAAAUGUCUUUCCUUUCUAAACUGAAUUUGGAAGAACCGGUUUGUCAGUUUAUUUCGGGUGAAGCCCAUUGAGCUAGGAAGUUGUCUUUCAAUAGUGACCCAAACGUAGCAUGGCUGGGACAACACUAGCCACCAUAUUACAUGGGAAGGGAGAGUUUACAUGGGCUGCAGAGAACAAAAGCCAGGACAAUGUUAUAUACAUGGUGAAUGACUACUACAGUAAACCCCCUCUAUUCACGAGCGUUAGAUUCUUUACAAUGCUCGCAAAUUUAGAAUUCGCGAAUUCAGAUACCUUAUUCAACGGGAAAAAUAGGGUUACGUUCCUGGUACGAGUGAGCACA